GAACGGGCAUAGCAAUAUGUCAGUGGCAGACGGGUGAGUAACGCGUGGGAACAUACCUCUUGGUUCGGAACAACACAGGGAAACUUGUGCUAAUACCGGAUAAGCCCUUACGGGGAAAGAUUUAUCGCCGAGAGAUUGGCCCGCGUCUGAUUAGCUAGUUGGUGUGGUAAAGGCGCACCAAGGCGACGAUCAGUAGCUGGUCUGAGAGGAUGAUCAGCCACAUUGGGACUGAGACACGGCCCAAACUCCUACGGGAGGCAGCAGUGGGGAAUAUUGGACAAUGGGCGCAAGCCUGAUCCAGCCAUGCCGCGUGAGUGAUGAAGGCCUUAGGGUUGUAAAGCUCUUUUGUACGGGAAGAUAAUGACGGUACCGUAAGAAUAAGCCCCGGCUAACUUCGUGCCAGCAGCCGCGGUAAUACGAAGGGGGCUAGCGUUGCUCGGAAUCACUGGGCGUAAAGGGUGCGUAGGCGGGUUUUUAAGUCAGAGGUGAAAUCCUGGAGCUCAACUCCAGAACUGCCUUUGAUACUGAAAGUCUUGAGUAUGGGAGAGGUGAGUGGAACUGCGAGUGUAGAGGUGAAAUUCGUAGAUAUUCGCAAGAACACCAGUGGCGAAGGCGGCUCACUGGCCCAUUACUGACGCUGAGGCACGAAAGCGUGGGGAGCAAACAGGAUUAGAUACCCUGGUAGUCCACGCCGUAAACGAUGAAUGCCAGCCGUUAGUGGGUUUACUCACUAGUGGCGCAGCUAACGCUUUAAGCAUUCCGCCUGGGGAGUACGGUCGCAAG
rnacentral:rRNA from 1 species